UCGUGUGUGGUGCGCGGUGCACGGCUGCUCUCAACACAGCUGAGCGGCAGAAUGUCCUGCAGCAGCAAUCGGGGUUCGACUCCCCGCGUGCGAA